rnacentral:lncRNA from 1 species
CUUAAACAAUGUCUACACUGUAUUUCUGAUCAAUUUGAUGUUAUUUUAAUGGACAAAAUGUUUUUCCUUUUCUUUCAAAAACAAGGACAUUUCUAAGUGUCCCCAAACUGUUGAACAGUAGUGUAACUAAACCAAAAUGGAACAUGCAGAAAAUACAUUUCUGAAGCAACAAAAUGAUACCUUGUUCACCCCCCCUCAAUAACCCAUAACGAAAAAGCCAAAACUGGUUUAGACAUUAAUUUAUUCAAAAUAAAAAACAGAAAUAACACAAUUACAUUAAGUAUUCAGACCCUUUUCUCAGUACUUUAUUGAAGCACCUUUGGCAGUGAUUACAGCCUCGAGUCUUCUUGGGUAUGACGCUACAAGCUUGGCACAUCUGUAUUUGGGGAGUUUCUCCCAUUCUUCGCUGCAGGUCCUUUCAAGCUCUGUCAGGUUGGAUGGGGAGUGUCGCUGCACAGCUAUUUUCAGGUCUCUCCAGAGAUGUUAGAUCGGAUUCAAGUCCGGGCUCUGACUGGGCCACUCAAGGACAUUCAGAGACUUGUCCGAAGGCCACUCCUGUGUUGUCUUGGUUGUGUGCUUAGGGUCGUUGUCCUGUUGGAAGGUGAACCUUCACCCCAGUCUGCGGUUCUGAGCGCUCUGGAACAGCUAGUACAGCCCCUAGUACCUUAGGUAGUACAGUAUAGCCUCAGCUAGUCCAGCCCCUAGUCCAGCAGGUAGUACAGUAUAGCCUCAGCUAGUCCAGCAGGUAGUCCAGUAUAGCCUCAGCUAGUCCAGCUCCUAGUCCAGCAGGUAGUACAGUAUAGCCUCAGCUAGUCCAGCAGGUAGUCCAGCAGGUAGUACAGUAUAGCCUCAGCUAGUCCAGCAGGUAGUACUGUAUAGCCUCAGCUAGUCAGCCCCUAGUCCAGUAUAGCCUCAGCUAGUCAGCCCCUAGUCCAGCAGGUAGUUGGUUUUGAGAGAGAGCCUUGACAGAAUGAUAACCACGCCACAGAACUGUAUACAUUUAUCAAUGAUACAUGUUCCAACUCGGGUCCCUUGACACAGAGGCAAGUACGCUAACCCCAAGAUAGACAACUCUAGAGCUUCUCCCUAACCCUUAACCCUAACCGCUUAACCCUAACCCCAAGAUAGACAACUCUAGAGCUUCUCCCUAACCCUUAACCCUAACCCCAAGAUAGACAACUCUAGAGCUAACCCUAAACCUUAACCCUAACCCCAAGAUAGACAACUCUAGAGCUUCUCCCUAACCCUAACCCUUAACCCUAACCCUUAACCCUAACCCCAAGAUAGACAACUCUAGAGCUACUCCCUAACCCUUAACCCCUAACCCCUAACCCUUAACCCUAACCCCAAGAUAGACAACUCUAGAGCUAACCCUAACCCUUAACCCUAACCCCUAACCCUAACCCCUAACCCCAAGAUAGACAACUCUAGAGCUAACCCUAACCCUUAACCCCCCUAACCCCUAACCCUAACCCCUAACCCCAAGAUAGACAACUCUAGAGCUUCUGAAAGGUUGUUCUAGUGUGGAUAUGAAUGGAGGCUAUGGUCAUAACAGAGAACAGAAAAACAUGGAUGUCUGAGAGUAGUUGUUCUGCUGGUCAGGGAAGGCAAUAGAUUGUAUAGUUAUCUUCUGAUCAGGGUAAAAUCACUACCCCACAACAAUACAAUCUACUACCUCACAACGCCUCAGCAGAUAGACAAUGACUUCAUAAUGUUGACGAUGUACCUUGAUGAUUUCUUCCUGUUCGUUCUCAAAACACCACAGCAAAUACGAUCAGAAUAGAAUCUUUUACAAUGACCAUAAGAGGAGAUUGACUGUAGUAUCCUUGGUGAUUGACACAUUGAGAAAGACAGUAGGUUGUACAGUUAUCUCCCAGUGUGGGUGUGACCCUAAAACUAUCCAACCUACUACCUCAUCCCACUGAGCUGAGGAACCUGGAGAGGAACCUGGAGAGGAACCUGGAGAGGAACCUGGAGAGGAACCUGGUCUGAUCCACCUCACAGCAUC